rnacentral:rRNA from 1 species
UGGUAAAAGAUGGCUAUGCGUCUUAUUAGCUAGAUGGUAAGGUAACGGCUUACCACGGCAACGAUAAGUAGGGGCCCUGAGAGGGGGAUCCCCCACACUGGUAUUGAGACACGGACCAGACUCCUACGAGAGGCAGCAGUGAGGAAUAUUGGGCAAUGGAGGCAACUCUGACCCAGCCAUGCCGCGUGCAGGAAGACUGCCCUAUGGGUUGUAAACUGCUUUUAUACAGGAAGAAACACACCUACGUGUAGGUGCUUGACGGUACUGUAAGCAUAAGCACUUGA